UAACAGUCUAUAGCCAUGGUUG
rnacentral:miRNA from 1 species